rnacentral:misc_RNA from 1 species
UGUGGGAGCGAGCUUGCUCGCGAUGACGGCAGCCAAUACAACUUAGUUGUAACUGGACUACCGCCAUCGCGAGCAAGCUCGCUCCCACA